CAUAAGUUCUUCUUUUAGUGCAGGAUGUAAUUGUUGAAACGUCAUUGGAUUUUCAACAAUUACAUCCUGCACUAAAAGAAGAACUUA
rnacentral:pre_miRNA from 1 species